rnacentral:rRNA from 1 species
AACGAACGCUGGCGGCAUGCCUAACACAUGCAAGUCGAACGAGACCUUCGGGUCUAGUGGCGCACGGGGGCGUAACGCGUGGGAACCUGCCCUUAGGUUCGGAAUAACUCCCCGAAGGGGAUGCUCAUACAGGAUAAUGUCUUCGGACCAAAGAUUUAUCGCCUUUGGGUGGGCCCGGGUUGGAUUCGCUGGUUGGUAGGGUAAAAGCAUACCAAGGCGUCGAUGCUGAGCUGGUGUGAGAGGAUGCCCAGCCACAAUGGGACUGAGGCACGGCCCAGACUGGGACGGGAGGCAGCAGUGGAGAAUAUUGGAGAAGGGGCGAAAGCGUAACAAAGCCACGCCGCGUGAGUGAUGAAGGGCUUAGGGUUGUAAAGCUCUUUUACACGAGACGAUAAUGACGGUACCGGGAGAAGAAGCACCGGCUAACUACGUG